rnacentral:rRNA from 1 species
AUUGAACGCUGGCGGCAUGCCUUACACAUGCGAGUCGAACGGUAACAGGUCUUCGGAUGCUGACGAGUGGCGAACGGGUGAGUAAUACAUCGGAACGUGCCCGAUCGUGGGGGAUAACGAGGCGAAAGCUUUGCUAAUACCGCAUACGAUCUACGGAUGAAAGCGGGGGAUCUUCGGACCUCGCGCGGACGGAGCGGCCGAUGGCAGAUUAGGUAGUUGGUGGGAUAAAAGCUUACCAAGCCGACGAUCUGUAGCUGGUCUGAGAGGAUGAUCAGCCACACUGGGACUGAGACACGGCCCAGACUCCUACGGGAGGCAGCAGUGGGGAAUUUUGGACAAUGGGCGAAAGCCUGAUCCAGCCAUGCCGCGUGCAGGAUGAAGGCCUUCGGGUUGUAAACUGCUUUUGUACGGAACGAAAAGCCUCUUUCUAAUAAAGAGGGGUCAUGACGGUACCGUAAGAAUAAGCACCGGCUAACUACGUG